GGAAAUUGCGGCUGCUAUACAUGCAAGUCGAGCGGACAGAUGGGAGCUUGCUCCCUGAUGUUAGCGGCGGACGGGUGAGUAACACAUGGGUAACCUGCCUGUAAGACUGGGAUAACUCCGGGAAACCGGGGCUAAUACCGGAUGGUUGUUUGAACCGCAUGGUUCAAACAUAAAAGGUGGCUUCGGCUACCACUUACAGAUGGACCCGCGGCGCAUUAGCUAGUUGGUGAGGUAACGGCUCACCAAGGCAACGAUGCGUAACCGACCUGAGAGGGUGAUCGGCCACACUGGGACUGAAACACGGCCCAGACUCCUACGGGAGGCAGCAGUAGGGAAUCUUCCGCAAUGGACGAAAGUCUGACGGAGCAACGCCGCGUGAGUGAUGAAGGUUUUCGGAUCGUAAAGCUCUGUUGUUAGGGAAGAACAAGUACCGUUCGAAUAGGGCGGUACCUUGACGGUACCUAACCAGAAAGCCACGGCUAACUACGUGCCAGCAGCCGCGGUAAUACGUAGGUGGCAAGCGUUGUCCGGAAUUAUUGGGCGUAAAGGGCUCGCAGGCGGUUUCUUAAGUCUGAUGUGAAAGCCCCCGGCUCAACCGGGGAGGGUCAUUGGAAACUGGGGAACUUGAGUGCAGAAGAGGAGAGUGGAAUUCCACGUGUAGCGGUGAAAUGCGUAGAGAUGUGGAGGAACACCAGUGGCGAAGGCGACUCUCUGGUCUGUAACUGACGCUGAGGAGCGAAAGCGUGGGGAGCGAACAUGAUUAGAUACCCUGGUAGUCCACGCCGUAAACGAUGAGUGCUAAGUGUUAUGGGGGUUUCCGCCCCUUAGUGCUGCAGCUAACGCAUUAAGCACUCCGCCUGGGGAGUACGGUCGCAAGACUGAAACUCACAGGAAUUGACGGGGGCCCGCACAAUCGGUGGAGCAUGUGGGUUUAAUUCUAAGCAACGCUAAGAACCUUACCAGGUCUUGACAUCCUCUUGACAAUUCCUAGAGAUAGGACGUCCCCUUUCGGGGGCAGAGUGACCAGGUGGUGCAUGGAUGUCGUCAACUACGUGCUCUGCAGAUGUUGGCGUUAAGUCCCCGCUAACGAGCCGCCAUCCCUUUGAUUCUUAGUUUGCCAAGCAUUCAGUUGGGUCACUUGUAGGGUGACUUGCCCGGUUGAACAAACCGUAAGUAGGUGUGGAUGUACGGUCCAAUCAUUCAUGUCUCUUUAUGUGACCUUGUGAGCUUACUCACUCGGUGUUGCCUAACAAUAUG
rnacentral:rRNA from 1 species